GGGUAUAGUUCAGUUGGUAGAGCGUUGGUCUCCAAAACCAAAUGUCGUGGGUUCAAGUCCUACUGCCC
rnacentral:tRNA from 2 species